AUUGGUGCUUGCAUCAUGAUUUACAUUUGAGUGAGUGGCGAACUGGUGAGUAACACGUGGGAAACCUGCCCAGAAGCGGGGGAUAACACCUGGAAACAGAUGCUAAUACCGCAUAACAACUUGGACCGCAUGGUCCGAGCUUGAAAGAUGGCUUCGGCUAUCACUUUUGGAUGGUCCCGCGGCGUAUUAGCUAGAUGGUGGGGUAACGGCUCACCAUGGCAAUGAUACGUAGCCGACCUGAGAGGGUAAUCGGCCACAUUGGGACUGAGACACGGCCCAAACUCCUACGGGAGGCAGCAGUAGGGAAUCUUCCACAAUGGACGAAAGUCUGAUGGAGCAACGCCGCGUGAGUGAAGAAGGGUUUCGGCUCGUAAAACUCUGUUGUUAAAGAAGAACAUAUCUGAGAGUAACUGUUCAGGUAUUGACGGUAUUUAACCAGAAAGCCACGGCUAACUACGUGCCAGCAGCCGCGGUAAUACGUAGGUGGCAAGCGUUGUCCGGAUUUAUUGGGCGUAAAGCGAGCGCAGGCGGUUUUUUAAGUCUGAUGUGAAAGCCUUCGGCUCAACCGAAGAAGUGCAUCGGAAACUGGGAAACUUGAGUGCAGAAGAGGACAGUGGAACUCCAUGUGUAGCGGUGAAAUGCGUAGAUAUAUGGAAGAACACCAGUGGCGAAGGCGGCUGUCUGGUCUGUAACUGACGCUGAGGCUCGAAAGUAUGGGUAGCAAACAGGAUUAGAUACCCUGGUAGUCCAUACCGUAAACGAUGAAUGCUAAGUGUUGGAGGGUUUCCGCCCUUCAGUGCUGCAGCUAACGCAUUAAGCAUUCCGCCUGGGGAGUACGGCCGCAAGGCUGAAACUCAAAGGAAUUGACGGGGGCCCGCACAAGCGGUGGAGCAUGUGGUUUAAUUCGAAGCUACGCGAAGAACCUUACCAGGUCUUGACAUACUAUGCAAAUCUAAGAGAUUAGACGUUCCCUUCGGGGACAUGGAUACAGGUGGUGCAUGGUUGUCGUCAGCUCGUGUCGUGAGAUGUUGGGUUAAGUCCCGCAACGAGCGCAACCCUUAUUAUCAGUUGCCAGCAUUAAGUUGGGCACUCUGGUGAGACUGCCGGUGACAAACCGGAGGAAGGUGGGGAUGACGUCAAAUCAUCAUGCCCCUUAUGACCUGGGCUACACACGUGCUACAAUGGAUGGUACAACGAGUUGCGAACUCGCGAGAGUAAGCUAAUCUCUUAAAGCCAUUCUCAGUUCGGAUUGUAGGCUGCAACUCGCCUACAUGAAGUCGGAAUCGCUAGUAAUCGCGGAUCAGCAUGCCGCGGUGAAUACGUUCCCGGGCCUUGUACACACCGCCCGUCACACCAUGAGAGUUUGUAACACCCAAAGUCGGUGGGGUAACCUUUUAGGAACCAGCCGCCUAAGGUGACAAGAA
rnacentral:rRNA from 2 species